UACACAUGCAGUCGAACGAUGAAGCUGGAGCUUGCUCCGGUGGAUUAGUGGCGAACGGGUGAGUAACAUGUGAGCAAUCUGCCCUUGACUCUGGGAUAACUGCGGGAAACUGUAGCUAAUACCGGAUACUUUCCUUGGUGGGCAUCCACUGGGGAAGAAAGAAUUUCGGUCAAGGAUGAGCUCGCGGCCUAUCAGCUAGUUGGUGAGGUAAUGGCUCACCAAGGCGACGACGGGUAGCCGGCCUGAGAGGGUGACCGGCCACACUGGAACUGAGACACGGUCCAGACUCCUACGGGAGGCAGCAGUGGGGAAUAUUGCACAAUGGGCGAAAGCCUGAUGCAGCAACGCCGCGUGAGGGACGAAGGCCUUCGGGUUGUAAACCUCUUUUAGCAGGGAAGAAGCGAAAGUGACGGUACCUGCAGAAAAAGCACCGGCUAACUACGUGCCAGCAGCCGCGGUAAUACGUAGGGUGCAAGCGUUGUCCGGAAUUAUUGGGCGUAAAGAGCUCGUAGGCGGUUUGUCACGUCUGCUGUGAAAUUUCGAGGCUCAACCUCGAACUUGCAGUGGGUACGGGCAGGCUAGGGUGCGGUAGGGGAGAUGGGAAUUCCUGGUGUAGCGGUGGAAUGCGCAGAUAUCAGGAGGAACACCAAUGGCGAAGGCACAUCUCUGGGCCGUAACUGACGCUGAGGAGCGAAAGCGUGGGGAGCGAACAGGAUUAGAUACCCUGGUAGUCCACGCCGUAAACGGUGGGUGCUAGCUGUGGGCCACAUUCCACGUGGUCCGUGACGAAGUUAACACAUUAAGCACCCCGCCUGGGGAGUACGGCCGCAAGGCUAAAACUCAAAGGAAUUGACGG
rnacentral:rRNA from 1 species